AUACGGAGGGUGCAAGCGUUAUUCGGAAUCACUGGGCGUAAAGGACGCGUAGGCGGGAUAGUAAGUCUGAUGUGAAAUCCUAUGGCUCAACCAUAGAACUGCAUUGGAAACUACUGACCUAGAGUAUGGGAGGGGGAGAUGGAAUUAGUGGUGUAGGGGUAAAAUCCGUAGAUAUCACUAGGAAUACCGAAAGCGAAGGCGAUCUCCUGGAACAAUACUGACGCUAAGGCGUGAAAGCGUGGGGAGCAAACGGGAUUAGAAACCCUAGUAGUCC
rnacentral:rRNA from 1 species